rnacentral:rRNA from 1 species
ACUCCUACGGGAGGCAGCAGUAGGGAAUCUUCCACAAUGGGCGCAAGCCUGAUGGAGCAACACCGCGUGAGUGAAGAAGGGUUUCGGCUCGUAAAGCUCUGUUGUUAAAGAAGAACACGUAUGAGAGUAACUGUUCAUACGUUGACGGUAUUUAACCAGAAAGUCACGGCUAACUACGUGCCAGCAGCCGCGGUAAUACGUAGGUGGCAAGCGUUAUCCGGGAUUUAUUGGGCGUAAAGAGAGUGCAGGCGGUUUUCUAAGUCUGAUGUGAAAGCCUUCGGCUUAACCGGAGAAGUGCAUCGGAAACUGGAUAACUUGAGUGCAGAAGAGGGUAAGUGGAACUCCAUGUGUAGCGGUGGAAUGCGUAGAUAUAUGGAAGAACACCAGUGGCGAAGGCGGCUACCUGGUCUGCAACUGACGCUGAGACUCGAAAGCAUGGGUAGCGAACAGGAUUAGAUACCCUGGUAGGAUAGCG